AUGAUAAACGAAGAGGAACGAAGCAAUGGCGAUCCGGAUAGUACCACAGUGUGCCGGAAUGUGCGGUGACGUUCUUUAUGUCACGCGAAAUGAGCAAAAGAUGCCCGGCAAAGAGUAGGAGCAGUGGCAGCACCAGCAAUCGUCCACGAGAGAGAGAUCGUAAUUAAAUAACUUUAAUAAAUUUAAUAUCAAAUUAUAUUGGCUUUUCCUCCCGGCACUGUCCCGGGAACACUCCAACCGGCCAUCGCCGUCAUCAUCAGCGGUUCACGCUGGUGUUUGUCAAUCGUUUUUUUUUAUUACCUCCCUCUCUCUCUCUCUUUCAGCUCCAGUUGGCAAAUGGUUGACAACUAGACUAGCCCGUGGACAUGUCUAGUAGCAGAAGCAGUGCUUUAUGAGCACGCAGGAACCGGACCCAUCCGCCAGCAUCCUAUCCGGGCGGGUUCAAAAGGGGGAAGAGAUUAAUUGCCAUUUAUUUUUCAACAAUUUAAUUACACUUUUGUUUAAUGACCUCCAUGCGCCAUCCCAGCCAAUCCGUUGUUGCGUUUCCGGAGCGUCCGAACACACAUCCAUAUACACACACAGACAGACAGAAAGGGGGAAAAGAGCCACCGACAGACUGAAAUUAAACCGAAACGUAAUGGAGAUAAUCAAUUACAGCAGCACAAGGACACUUUCACCCUCCCCAAUCCUCGGUUUGUGCCCUGGUGGCUUUGAAACGUUCCGGACGCGAGGUUCAUCACAUCAGUAAGCUUGGGGGACACUUUUUGGAGCGUACUCUGGAUGAAUGGUGUUUUAUGACGCUGACAACUUCUGAUCGAACGCAGGGACAGAUGGAGCAGGUAAGUUGGAAAAUGGUUCGUCAUAAGAAAGACCGAUCGAAACUUUUCCACCUGCAGCAAUAUCAACAUCCAGCGUAGAGGCUAAAGCGCAUCACGAGUGCCCGUGCUUUGCUCGGAUCAAGCUCGGUUACGGAUUCGGAGCAGUUUAUCACUUUACACGCAACCCGUGAAGGCCACAACGGGAAAGGAACAAGGAAAAAGUAUGUUUUAAUAAGCAAGAAAGAAAAAUGAAAGACCCAGAGUUUGCAAAACAGCUUCGGCAACCUUAAAAACUCAUCCGUGCGCAAGGAGGAAAUGUUUGUUAUAAAGCACUCCCGGCCGAUUAAGAUCAGUACCGACUGAGUGUGCUAGCAGGUUCUUGCGCGGAUGUUGUCUAUGUAGGAAGUGGAAACUUUUCACUCGGAACCAUCACACCCCAAACCCGCAGUGUAC